rnacentral:rRNA from 1 species
CACCCAGGACGGUGGAUCACUCGGCUCGUGGGUCGAUGAAGAACGCAGCAAAUGCGCGUCGACAUGUGAACUGCAGGACACAUGAACAUCGACGUUUCGAACGCACAUUGCGGUCCAUGGAUUCCGUUCCCGGGCCACGUCUGGCUGAGGGUCG